rnacentral:lncRNA from 1 species
CUGUUUUGCGGCAGGGCCUUGCGUAUAAGGGGUUUUGCUUCGGAGUUUCGUGGUUGUGCUGCAUUUGAAAGAACAUGGAUAAACUGUGGCCAACACGUAAAAAAGGAAGCCAGCUUCCUGAACAAGAGAACCGAAGCAAAGUUCCUAAGCUUCGAAAACUUGAGGGUUCCAGCAGUCAGCCCUUGGCAGACAUUUUUAAUAAUACCGCUUCAGAAAACGGCAGCAUCCACGUUUACCAUUUGUCACAUUCUCAGAUUGACGGAAACGUCACCUUUAAUUCGAACGUACAAAAUAUCACCGAUUCAACAAAGAGGGAGACUUCUCACAAUCCCAGGAAUCCAGAGGCAGAGAACUGUUCUGCAGUGAGCACCGUGAACAAGAAGAACUUUACUGUCAGGAAGCCUCCUGACCAACUAAGCCAUGUCACCAUUAAAGAAGCUCAGCAGUUAGAAGAUGGCCGUAGAGUCACAGUUACGGGGAUGAUUGCCGGGUUCAGGCAUGAGGGGACCGCAUACGUCCAUGGAAAUUAUCUCCAGCAUCAUGACUUUGACUUUGCAGAUGACACUGGUGCAGUGCGCUUAACUGUUUGGGAGAACUCAAAGUUGAACUUGAAUGUUGGACAGUGCUGCACUCUGACAAAUAUUGCGGUCAAAACAUUUAAAUUGAUCAAAUUUCUCAGUACCACACGUGAUACCACUUCAGUAAACAUUGUACCCAUCCAUACAAAUCGUGUUUUUCACUGUGGACCAAUAAUCGCUGCUAGAGUUUCUGCGAAAUAUUACUGCAUUUGUAAGUCCCUGCUGGAAAAUUUCUCUGCAGACGUAGACAAGAUAAAAUGCGAAAAAUGUAAAAGGAGCAUGAGGUCUAAGUCCAUACACUGCGUCAGGUGGACUGAAAUCACAGUCGCGACCGCAGAAGGGGACGUUAAGUGUGAUCUGACCGACAGCUUUCUAGAUCGUUUAAUAGCCAUGGAUAGACGUGGCUGGUGCAACACAGAUAAACUUGAGAGAGAGCUGAUUGACAUUGACCAUGUGUAUGUGGUUAUGGAGGACGGGAAUGUUGUCACUAUCAAUACGAAAGGCUUUGGACACCCGGAAUGUCCGCAUAAAACUAACUUGUAAAUUGUGCAGUAAAUGCUGUACAACGACAAGAUGUAACACAAUGUGUUACAGCCUAUGUUAUUCAUAGACCAUAUAGAUUUUAAACCACAAUAAGCCUUUAGCUACACCCCCACACACAAUAAAAAUGUCUAUUGCUUUGAUUCGUGCA